rnacentral:lncRNA from 1 species
AGAUAUAGUACUUUCCAACUGAGCUUGCAAAUUUCUCCGAACACUUGCUUUCCAACCUCUUCCGUUAAUGUUAUCCCGCGCUGGUGUUAAUUCUGAGUUGGAUGAUCGCGUGUGCAUAAAAAUCUACAAGUACCUGAAACAAAAAUAAAAGCAAAAAUAGAAAUAAGAUAAGAUUAAAUUUGUCUAAGUCAUACAAUAUAGCUUAAAAUUGAUGAUAAUUAUUUAAAUUUAAACGCCUUUCCCCGGCAAUGGCGCCAAAAACUUGUUGCCUCUUUUUCAGUUCUAACAAAAGAGCUCUAACUCAUGCAAGCAUACAUGUGUGAACAAGUAAUACAGAGUAAGUAGAGUAUCAUCCCACAGAGAAAGUUGUUUAAUUUAAACUCUUAUGCAUCAACUAAAUCACUAUUUUUAUAUGCUUAAACCAAUGACUAGAAUUGUGAAUUUAUUCUAAAUGUAAAUAAUAACUAAAAUGAGAAUAAUAACGAAAUAUAUCAAAUCUUGAAAUAAUGGGAUCCUAACUUCAUUUAAUACUUCAUCUAAUUACCACCAUCAUGCAAGAAAGUUCACAUAUCACAGGAAAGUAGUCAAGAGCACUAAAAUAUUCAUAGCCAUUUUUCAAUGCACUGUGACCUACUCACACAGUAUCCACAAGCGAUAGAUACCAUGUAAUCAUCAAUAUAACAAAAAUCACUAUAUGUCUAUGUGAAAUUGAAACUAUAUUGAAUUUAAGCACAAGCCCUUAUAUUAACUCAUACGGUGAAACAGUAUAUGUCUAUCUGGUUCAUGAAAUACACAAGCCAUGCAAAACAGCCCCAUAUACGUAUGCUAUCAUGAUUACAAUCCAUACUCGC